UACGGGGGGGGCAAGCGUUGUUCGGAAUUACUGGGCGUAAAGGGCGCGUAGGCGGCCUGCUAAGUCGGACGUGAAAUCCCCCGGCUCAACCGGGGAACUGCGUCCGAUACUGGUGGGCUCGAAUCCGGGAGAGGGAUGUGGAAUUCCUAGUGUAGAGGUGAAAUUCGUAGAUAUUAGGAAGAACACCAGUGGCGAAGGCGGCUCACUGGUCCGGUACUGACGCUGAGGUGCGAAAGCGUGGGGAGCAAACAGG
rnacentral:rRNA from 1 species